UCACUUACCCUCUGCCUGUGGGGAUAGAGGAGCAUGCCAUGCUCCUAGAGUCAAAGAGUCAGCUGAAGAAGAUGAUGUCCAAGUACAAAUACAGAGAUCUAAUUAACCAUCCGUCAAACUGUUAAUGUCAUCGCUAUGUACAAAGAUCUCAAACUUGAAUUCAUGUUUUUAAUGAUGGCAGUUUCAGGGAACUGGUGAACCUCACUGGUACAAUUCCAGUGUGUUAUCGAGGUAAUAUAUGUAUAUAUAUAAUAUUCCAAUUAUAUAUUAUAUAAUUCCAAUAUAUAUUAUAUUAUAUAUAUAUAAUAUGCCUGUGGCUGCUGGACACAUACCCAUAUAACCCCCCUAUCUGUUUUGUUAACCCUACUAGUUCAAUGACUAUUAAAACAGGAAAGCACUUGGAUGCAAAUGGGAAAAUCUACCUACCUUAUCUACAUGACUGGAAAUACCCUCAGUCAGAGUUGCUGGAGCUUAUUCAGAUCAUGAUUGUGAUAUUUGGAGAGGAGCCUCCAGUGUUCUCCCGGCCUACUGUUUCUGCAUCCUACCCACCAAACACAGCCACAGGGCCACCAAAUACCUCCUACAUGCCAGGCAUGCCAAGUGGAAUCUCGGCAUAUCCAUCUGGAUACCCUCCCAACCCCAGUGGUUAUCCUGGUUACCCACCUGCUGGCCCAUACCCUGCUACAACAAGUUCACAGUACCCUUCCCAGCCUCCUGUGACCACUGUUGGUCCCAGCAGAGACGGCACAAUCAGCGAGGACACUAUUCGAGCAUCUCGCAUCUCAGCAGUCACUGACAAACUGAGAUGGCGGAUGAAGGAGGAAAUGGAUGGUGCCCAGGCAGAACUUAAUGCCUUGAAACGAACGAGGAGGAUCUGAAAAAAGGCCACCAGAAACUGGAAGAUUGGUCACCCGUUUAGAUCAAGAAGUAGCUGAAGUUGAUAAAAACAUAGAAUUUUUGAAGAAGAAGGAUGAAGAACUAAGUUGUGCUCUGGAGAAAAUGGAAAAUCAAUCUGAAAAUAAUGAUAUUGAUGAAGUCAUCAUUCCCACAGCCCCACUGUAUAAGCAGAUCUGAUGCAGAGGAAAACGCUAUUGAAGACACCAUCUUUUACCGUGGAGAAGCUUUGAGGCGGGGAGUAGUAGACCUGGUUGUGUUCCUCAUGCACGCCCGCCUCCUGUCCCGCAAACAGUUCCAGCUAAGGGCACUCAUGCAAAAAGCAGGGAAGACUGCGGGCCUUAGUGACCUCUACGGACCGGGCUGUCAGCUGGAGGCCGGCCUCUCCGUAAAGCAUUCUUUUCUUCUUCUUCUUCUUCUCAUCAGUAGAACCCAGAAUAAGUUAUUGCAGUUUAUCAUUCGAGUGUUAAAUAUUUUGAAUCAAUAAUAUAUUUUCUGUUUCCUUUGGGUAAAGACUGGCUUUUAUUAAUGCACUUUCUACCCUCUGUAAGCUUCUGUGCUGUGCUGGGACUGACUGGGCUAAAUAAAAUUUGUUGCAU